ACCAAAACUCUUUGCUUCUACUUUGAGCCUUAAAGUAAGAUCUCAGUGUAUUACAGACAAGGAAGGGCCUGGAAAUCAGCUAGCCUGGCUCUUCUGCAGAGUUGCCUCUUUAGCCUUGCUUUAAGCAUCUCUGUGGGACAAAGCCAUCAUGGAAAUGUCAUUUGCUGCGUUUAUCUGCUUACCUCUGACUGCAGCACUCUCUUCAGAGGAUGAGGGAGGAUCCUCAUACUCAGGAAAUAAGUAACUUCCUGGGUCUAAGAAAGGGGAACUUAGAAGUUUCAAAUGACCCUCCAACACUAUGUAGACUGAGGAGCCUCUGACCAACUCAGCUUCUGAAAAAAAUCCAAACCUGUCCCUGCAGUUUCGGCUGUGCUGUUUCCGGAGUCAAGUAUUGAGGUUGAAGGAGGCUGAUUAGGCCUGGUCUGUGGCAGAAUGGUGCCCAAGCAGGGACCUCUGGACAGGACAGAUGGCAAAUUUGGACACAUUUACAGGAUGACAUGUCAUGCAAUAUUAAAAUGAAAAGUGACUUUGUGUGCUGGUAUAAGAAGAUCUUGAAGAUAGAGAUGACAGACCACCUGGACAAUGCUUCCUGAUCGUUUUUGUUAAAGUCUGGGAUGUCUUUGGCAUCUUCAUCUGCAUACCUUCUUUUGCUGCAGGAACACUCUGCUUGGACAGAUGGCAUAUUUGGACACAUUCACAGGAUGACAUGUCAUGCAAUAUUAAAAUGAAAAGUGACUCUAUGUGCUGGUCUAAGAAGAUCUUGAAGAUAGAGAUGACAGACCACCUGGACAAUGCUUCAUGAUCGUUUUUGUUAAAGGUAAUCAUUUUACACAGACUUCUAAAUCUAAUUGAAGAAAUAGUUUUCAUUUAUAAUAAAAACUCCCACAGUAGUGUUAAAUAAUCAUAAAAGUCUCUAAUAUUAGUUUGUGUUACAAACGACUGGACUUAGUCAGUCAAUAGCAGCAAUGAGACAGAAGGGAACUUAAGACAGAAUGAAAUUCUGACCAUGGGAAUUGACCUAUUGUCACUCAGUAAGGUUCCAUGGAGAGACUGAUAUGCAGAGAGGUGCAUGGGUAUAAUUUCUGAUUUAGAAUCACUUUAGCAAAGUUAAUCGUUUUAUAGUUGCAGAGUUUACUCUCAAUUAAGAUGUACAACUGCUAUUUUCAUAUCCUAUCUCCCUGCCUUUCUAGACAAUGAACAGCAGAAAGAGAUUUCAGGGAGAAACUUGUCAAGGGCUCAGUGUUCUCCAUGGCUUGCCCCUUCCCCCGCCCCAGUGAUGUUUCCUCAGGGCCCAGGGCCCACUCUCUUGGUGAGCUGCUGUCUACACAGCAGCUUGUGACAUAGCCUGAGUCUGCUCCUCUCCUCUUCUCUAGUUGACUGUUUUCCAUUGAGUCUAGCAGUAUUUCCUCAGGCCCCGAUCUGUUCAUCCUCUGCUAACUUAUCCCUCAUGCUACAGUCUUCACCGCCAUUGUGUCCUAAAACUCUGACUGUAGCAGAAUACCUAAUAUAGGUACAACCAAGUGUGUUCACUCUAUUUCUCCCUGAAUGAGAGAUCCAAGGAACAGGUCAAAAUUCAACAACUUUAAGAUCUAUCCUGGGCUCUGGCAGCUUUCCAUAGGACCAGAAUUCUAUUCUCAGAACCUACAUGGUGACCUACCAUUUUCAACACUGGGUUCAUGAGAUCUGAUGCCUUCUUUUUGCCUCUUCACAAGCCAGACAUACACAUGAUGCGGGCGCAUGCACACACACACACACACACACACACACACACACACACACAGAGUUUCACAUCACAUAUAUAUUAAUAACACACACAUAAAA
rnacentral:lncRNA from 1 species